UCUCUAAUGAUGGUGAGAGAGUCUCUUUUAUAGAAUAAGGGUUCGCUCCUCAAUACAUAAGUGAUGGGUUAGGAGUGAUACUCGCGGCAAGGCGAUUGCUCAGCUGGCGGCUAUGCUCUCUAAUGAAGGUGAAGGAGUCCCUUUUAUAGAAUAAGGGUUCGCUCCUCAAUACAUAAGUGAUGGGCUAAGAGUCUAUCUCUAAUGAAGAUGAGAGAGUCCCUUUUAUAAAAUAAGGGUUCGCUCCUCAAUGCAUGAAUAGUGGGUGCUCUCUAAUGAAAGUGAGGGAGUCCCUUUUAUAGAAUAAGAGUUCGUUCCUCAGUACAUAAAUAAUGGGCUAAGUCCCCCAAGUAUUUUUCAUGAGGCCCAGUUGCGGAAGCCCAAUAUAUGGUACAUAGUGUAGUCCCCUAAGUCUUCAGU
rnacentral:lncRNA from 1 species